GGUGCCGGGUGAGGAGCGGCGGAGUGCGGAGGGGCUGUGGGCGCUCAGCUGUGGUCUGAGGGGGCGUGUAUUUGAGCCCCCUUCCGCACCGAGACCCGCCGACGGAGGGGGCAGUAAAGGCGAAGCGCCUCGGCCGUGGGGGGAACGGUGCGACCCUGCAGGGCUGGACAGGGAGCAGCAAAGGAGCGGAGAGCAGCUGAGGGGGUAUUUUCAUACGGCAGGGGUUAGUGAUCCUCGGGACAAAUAUCUUCUCCCGCUUACCUUCACGGGCGUCUAUUUAAGAAGGCACACACAAAACUUCAGUAUCUAAAGUUCAGUCCUUUCUUCUGUAUCUGCUGUUCCCUUUAACUGAUUAUGCUUGCCUCUGAAAAUCAAGGAUCCACGAUUACCAAAACAAGAUCAGGAACUUUGUUGUGCGGAAAGCCUGGGACACCAAGAGCUAGUUAGAGCGCUCAGUCUGCUUGGGUCUGCUAUCGGGGUUCCGGAUUCCACAGGCCUUUUCCUCCCGAAACAUCAGCUGCCUACCCCUGAGCUACUGCCCGAGAAAACUGCCUGCAUAGGUUUUGAGGAAUUUGAAAAGCUUAAAUCUGAAAAGCUUCUCUUUUAUAAAUGACACGCGAUCUAUGUAUAAACAUGAAAAUACACCCAGGGUGAUCCUUUAGACGUCCCUCAAGGCAACGAGAAGACUUAGUGUGGUAACUUUGACAUGCUUGGUGACUUAGUUGUACAACUCAGCUCUUCAGGAUUUCUCCAUCUGUCACUGUCGGUUUGUGCUUUCAGUAAACAUGGGCUUUUUUAACCAGUAUGCUUGAAAAAAAAUCAAAAAUUUGGGUAAAAAUGUGGUGUUGAAAUGCUGCUAGUUUUAAUGGUUGUCACUUCUCAUCAGACUAAUGCUGUUUAAAGGUAGUUUACUAAGAAUUAAUUUUAAAGCAGUUUUAAAAAAUGGACCUGAAAUUCACUACAUUUAAUGUCUUUCCUUUCUAGCCCUGUGUCUUGUUUAAGUUUUAUUUUGUUGUGUGCUGUUGUUUUGGGUUUUUUUUCUUUUACACUUAGAUAAUUGCUCAUGUUUAGGGCUUUACAGUUUCAUUUAUCAUCUCCAUUCUGCAAGGCUCAGAUCUUGCUUUUCUUCCUAUUUUCAAAGGACUUUCCCUUUCCCUUCCCUUCAUUUUCUUUUGUUUAUUUUUGUUUUUUCUUAAAAAAUAUUUAUUUAGGUCUCUCUGCUUGUUAAACAGUAUUCUGUGCUGCAGAGUGACAUGGAAAUAUAUAAUGUGAUUUUGUUUAAACCAAAUAGAACUAAUUUCUGUUAAAAGUAACAAGUAGGUAAAAGCUGGCAUCAACAUGUUUUCUCUGGCCUUAAUAAAAAGGCCAUUGUUUCUGUCUGGGGGAAGCCAGAUGCGCUCCUACAGGUACAGCAGUAAGUCUGAACAACCAGUUGUACUAAGCAAGGUGCAGUACAGUGACCUUGCAGUUAAUGGUGUAAAUUAAGGGGCCAGGAGACCUUCAGCUCCCUUUAAUAAGCCUUUAUUAGAAAGAACUAAGCCUAGAGGUGGGGGCUCGGGGUGUGCACCGCUGCUGCUGCUCCCCGUGGUUGAUGUGGAAGAGGAGGACCACACAGGCCUGUCGUCAUCCACUGAUGAGAUGACUGGAGCCUCUAUCCUUGUCAGGAUCACCCAGAAACUCUGUUUAAGGUUUGAAAGUCCAGGGAUGUCUUCCCUCUCAAGUCCUGCCUAGGUCAUGGUGACCAGCUUGCCAGACUGACAUUGGUGUACCCAGUCUCCCCAGGUCCCCACUGCCUCCACAGUGUGGUCCUCCAGAUGUUUCUUGAGAGUGGCUCGUUGUCCAGGGCUGUCUUCGCUCCCAGGUGGUAAUAUGAUUUUAAUAUGCACCCGUGUGCAAGUCUUUAUGGGAAAUGCAGAAGUUCAUCCUGGGUAGCAGCGGCUGAAUUACCCGACGGGUUGGAAGGGAGUAAGGGGUGGGGGUACAAAUGCAAUGAUAAAACAAGUACGAACUUCUUAACAGUGAGCCCUUUUGGGGCCUACAACACCAAAACCCCUUAUCCAGGGACUUAAACUGGGAUUGAAACAAGAACAUAUAAUUUGAACAUAGGGAUUUUUAUUUAUAACAAUAUUAGGAUUUUUAUUUAUAACAGUUAAUAGUGAACAGCUCGUGGGAUUUCUGGGCUAUGACCUUGCACCGAUCUCUGAGUGGUCUGUGGAAGUGAGCAGUGUCACAGGGCUUCAGCUGAACUUCUCUUCCAUUUAUUGACAUCUUCCCCCAUUCUCACAUUUUGAUUUACUUGUCAACCCAUGGGUCAUGCAAUUCAUGAGAUGAAGGUUGGUAUAAUAGUGAAGGUGAAGAGAUGUGACUCUUAAGUGUUUGGGAGGCUCUUCUUCUUUUAUGACCUGUGUUAAAUAUUUCAAUUAAAAACAACCUCCUUUCUUUUCAGCAUCUACCUUGCAGUCCUGCUGGAGUCUUUUCAUGGCUUUUGAUUUUCUUAAUUACCUCUUCGACUGUGUCACUUUAUCAGCAUCCAAAAAAAUAAAGGACAGAAAAUAGUCAGGAUGAAGAAGUCAUGAAUUACAAACACAAAUUGGCUUUUGGAGAAAAGUUCAAAAACUAGUAUGUAGUCACAGAAAGUUCAGUGUUCUUAGAGUGUUCUAGUGUUCUUAGAGUGUUCUUUUUUUCACCUGUUGUUUCUGAUUCUUCUGGUUGAACUCAAUAUAGUGCAUCCAAGGUUUAGAAGAUGGCUUAAAAUUCCUAGGUUAGGAGGCAAUUUCAGGCAUGCAGAGGUGACUAUCAGAAAUAAAGGAAUGAAGCUGAUUUUACGCAUGUGUCAAAUUUACAGUCUGUGGAAGAAUCUAAGAUGGGGAUUGGAAAUGGCUUGCUAUUUAAAAAUGGUCUUUGGUUUUAAAAUGACUGUAAUCUUUGUUAGACACUAACUUUCUUGGUAAUAUGUACAUAAAUUUAAAACAUGUAAGGAAAAUGUAUUAUAAUAUUUUCAGUGCAUCCAAAUGGCUGGGUCAUCUAGGUACAACAGCUGGAGGCUGUUGGUUUUGGUAAAGGUGCAGCUCUGUGUGAUGCCAUCUGUAAGCCUCCACCACCAUUUCCGUCUUGGAGCACACUCUGAGUUCAGGUAAAUUGUGUUCACGCUCAUGUUUAGAGGACUUAAUGAAAUACAUGAACAAUACUAAAAAAUUUGGAUUUUAAAAUAAUGUAAGGCACCAUUUUUCUUCCUGUUGCUUUCCUGCCCCUUUGCUAACAGUUGUAUCCCAUAUUUAACUGGAUUUCUUGCAAGGAGUUAGUGUGUUGAAGUUCUCAUCAUGAUUUGGUUUUUUGGAUGUUACAAGAAUGGAAACACUGGAUACUUGAAUUUGUCUGAAAUGAGUUUAUAUUAAUCCUUAAAGCUAUAUAUAGAUUUGUUUAUUUUAGAAAAUUACUAUUUAUGCAGACAUGAAAGAUUGUGCAUGAUUGUCCUGUAUUGCAGAAGUCAGCAUUUGAAAAUAACUGAUACUUUGUGUAAUUAAGGGAACUUAAUUGAGACUUGGCAUUUAGCGUGUAUUUGAAAAUCAAAGGGGAAUAAAGACCAUUUUCUGACUGCAUUUUGAUGUGAAGGGAAUCUUUUACUGAACCAUAUAUUUUUCAUUCUCUUAGUCCAGCAUUACAAUUAAGAUGUGUGGUUUCAUAUUACUAGGUCAUCUGUAACUGCUGUGUGAACAUUGCAGUCUGCUUGGUAGCACAGUUCUGUAGCACAUCUGAAUUCUGUAUACACUGCAGCUUUUGAGGUACAGUCAUCAGCCUUGCAGGGCAAUUACUAGCCCCAGUGUGUUUAAUGUAUACCAUGGAGAAGGUAAAAAAGCUUUCUUCCUUCUGUGAAGAAAAAUUCAGAACAAAGUUAAUGUUCUCAGGGGAAAUGUGGUGCCAUUUAAGAAAAUCAGAGUUAUCCCAGUUGUGUAAGUAGAGUCAAUAAAAAAUUCAAGUAGUGAUUUAAUGACUGGACAUUGACCUAAAGCAUGUUACAGCUUUGACUAACUUACAGUGAAAUUAUUUGAAGCAGUGAAUUACUGCUGUUGCAUAUUUUUGUUAGACACAUUCUGAGUUCACACAAAAUUUCUAUAAAUGCAAUUAGAAGCCAAAUUAAGGAGCAUCAGCUUAUCAUCAGCAACAUUAAGUGAUUUGAAGUGCUGGCCAACUAGCAAAUAGAGCUGGAAGCAGUAAGCUCCUUUCAUGGUCCAGAUCUGGGACCUGUGAUAGCACUUUAUGCUUUACAACCUACCACUUGGUUACUGAUUAAGCACCAUUUAUCACAUGAGAGAAAUAACAUCUAUUCUGUAAUUCUGUCUGUAGUAUUCUGGAUAUUUUUAAAACUGUUUUUGCAUAUUUAUCUUCUUCAAUUUUGAGAUUCAAGUUAAUCCCAAAAAUACAACUCUUAAGAACUCAUUUAAAUUCAACUGGUAGAAACUGAAUUGUGUGAGGGCCUGGUUUUAGACAACACAACCAGUUUCCAUGAUAGUGGUCACAGAAAGGGUGUUCAUGUUAUUCGGAUAUCAUACUUAAUGCAUCUGUAACUCUGUCUUGGAAAUGGUUAAGAACAGCACGACUCUGACUCAAGGGAGAAGUAGUUUCUGAGAAAUUUAGGUUGGUGAGAAUAAUGCUUUUGGCAACUAAGAGUUUAGGAUUACUAUGAAUGACUAUGUAACAGUUUCAAUAAUUUUUUUUCCCUUUAUUUUGUAAUACAUUUUUGUUGAAAGAUAAAAUUGUAUAAGUUUAGAUGAAAACAGAGUUAGUAGGUGUAUAAAAAUGCAAUGAAGUGCACUUGAGAAGUAGUAGAGUGCAUAGUUGCACUCUUUGUUUAUUAGAUAUGUUUCUUGUAGCUUUUAUAAUGUAUGUGUAUAUUUGGUGGAUAUCAGGACCUUAUAAAUAAUAAACAUAAUUUGUAUAGAGUACAGACAAUAAACCGGUGCCUCUGAAAACAAGAGAACAUGAAGAUUACAUGUUGGCCUUGCAACAAGAUCUUCGAGGAACUACAAAAAAAAAUGCCAUACUUUUUGACAGUAGGAGAUGAACAUCAAGGCUUUGAAUGUAAUACACCUUUUUGUCCAAUUGUUCGUGUACUAAAGCCAUAUAUAAAGUGGAGCAGCACCGUGCAGUGUGAUCAGUGAACACAGUGACAGCCAGAUGUUGUGGCUCAGAAAAGACAGAGUAUUUCCCCUGAUCUGCAGCUGGAGCCCAGGUGGUGCAACCAGGUAAAACAGGUCAUGAGGAGAGAACAGAUCUGAUCCUUAUUUCUAGAUCCCUUUAUGAUGGUAGAAGAAUUUUGGGUUAAUCUUUUAUCAUAUGUCCUCUUUCAUCUUCUGGAUAAACAAGUUUCAGUAUCUUUGGAUUUCCAUCUCACUAGAGUCUUGCUGUGCUCUUGAUCUUUGUCAGGCUUGAAGUUUGCUAUUUCUGGUAGAGGCACAAAAAAGGAAACUGCUGUGUCUGAGAACCAGCCAGGGUUAUUUCCAGUGAACCAGCUGCUUUAUGAGACAAUGUUAUCUCUCUUUUCUGACUUUACCUCAUGUGAUUGUUCUCACUGUUCACCUCAGUAUUAUGUUUGUCCCUGAAAUCUUCUUUCUCAGAUGGACAAGUCUCUCUGUGUUGCUGAGUGUAUUCCUUAGUAGAGUUGCCAGCUUUGAAAACUGUUUUUUUCCUACCAGAAUUGGCAGUUUCAGGGAAAUCAGGUAGACAGCCACUUUAUAGAUUCAAAUAAUGCUUCAAAUAUUCUCAUCACCACUGCAAGGGUAAGUUGGUAAGUUGAGGUAUCUUUUUACAAAAUCUGUAAUUGCACAAAAAUGGCACAUCUGAGGGAUGGGUUAUAAUUGCAUCAGUGAUAGAGUGCAAUUUAAAAAGCUUGUUUUCAUCUCAGUUGCAAUGUGCAGUUGUCUCUGGGACUGCUUUCUGUGGUAAAAGUGGUCUAGCUUUAAGAAGACGGUAGAUUAUUUAUAACUGAUGUCUUCUGUUACCUGGUUUACAAAACAUUUUGUAAAACUAAGAGGGUAUUAUAGGGUGGGCUUUAACUUCAUAAACUGUCUUUGCUAGAAGAGUGAAUGGAUUGUUUUAAAACCUCAGAACAACAUCUGUGAGCCAAAUGGUCCUUUGAAGUGUGAGAAGGGAAAUGUUUUAAUUAGUUAGGAUGUAUCUGUCUAUCUUCCAUUUUUCAUGCAGCAAAUGAAAGCUAUAUCUCAUUCUACCUGGAAAUGUUGAUGUUAAUGUGCCAUAAAGCAUAGAUUUCCAUCAUUCAACACUCUUUUUGAGAAUAGCAGGCAUAUUCUAUAGAAAGUUCUUUAUUUACCUCACCAUGUAAGUUAUGAAUGACUCAUCUUUUCCCUGUAAGUGUAUCUGCCAAAACUGGGCAGUGGUUUGGCAAUGGUUUGGAAUUAGUUCAUUAGUUGUGAAGGGCAAAAGUCAGUCAAUAUAUAUUUUUUCUGACGACAUCAGCAAUUAUUUCUUCACUAAAGAGCCUUGAUCUGAAAUUAAAACUACUAGUUUAUUUUCCUCUCUUUGCUGAUAGUUUCCUACAUCUAUGAAUGCCCCUUGAGACACUGUUAUUUUAAUUGUAGACUCUGUUGCACAAUUUUGAGGUUUUCUAUUUGCCUUCUUAAUAACUAAGUUUAAGAUUUAGUUUAAUUUAUGAUUUUUUCUUUUUCCUUGGCGAGUACCUGAAGGAUGGGAUUACAUACAUAGAGACCUUGACAGCCUGGAGAAGUGGGUGUGUGGGAAUUUUAUGUGGUUUAAUAGAGUGAGUGCAAGGUGCUGCACCUGGCCAUUGCCAGCAGGUUGAGGGAGGGAUUAUUCCCCUCUUCCCUGCUCUGGUGGGACCCUACUGGCAGUUCUGCAUAAGCUCUGGGGUUCCAGCACAGGGAGGACCUGUUGAAGCCAGUCCAGAAAAGGCCACUCAGCUGGCAUCAGAGGGAUGGAGAACCUCUCCCAUGAGGAGAGACUGAGAGAAUUGGGACUAUUCAGCCUGGAAGGGAGAAGGCUUCAGGCUGACCUAAUUGCAGCCUCCAGUAUCUGAAGGGAAUUUACAUCACUGGGAAGCAUGGUGCUGAAGGUAGACUGUAAGAUUCAACUGAAAAUUAAUUAUUCAUUUGCAAAAUGUCCAAAGGUGCAAUCAGAAUAUACCAGGUUUUAUUCCAAAAGAAGAACCAAUGGGCUUUUAUAAGCCUGUGCGCAAUAGUUUUUGCCCUGAGAUCUAGUGAAAUAAUAAAUGAAGAUUAUUAUCGCUUGUUAAAAAAUGUUGUGAUUAUCAUAAAAAGAGAAUCACUGCUCACUGGAGGCAUUUUUCUUUCUUCAGUACUAGUUUCUCUACUGGCUGUUAAAAGUACAUUCCUUUACAUGUUAUAAUAGCAAAGAUCAGCUGACCAUCAGACUUUGAUUUGAUUAAGAAACAGGUUCCCCUGAAAGCAAAAGCUGUGUUGGUUAUAAUAUUUAUAUAUAUAUAUAUACACAUAUACACACACACACACACACAUAUAUAAGCCUAUGGGUUAGGGGUUUUUUGUGGAUUCAUGAUGAUGCAUUUAGGGGUUUUUUUGUGGAAUCCUGAUGAUACAGAGUUACAUAUGAAUCAGGAAGUUUGUACAUAGCUUAUCAGUGACCCAUUAGAGCUCCUGUACAUGUCUUUGUUGUAUUUUGAGGACAGAUAACAUAGGUGACACUUUAACCAUGGUGGAACAAAGGUGAACAAAUCACCAGACUUUGCAGAAAAACUCAAACCAGGGUACUGUUCUACAUUUUUAGCUUGCAGGAGUGGUUUGGGGAGCACUACAGUUCCAUGCAGAGGGGCAGCUUUAAUUUCGCACACUCCCCUCCCUCUUUCUGGUUUCCCUGAAUGUUUUAACUGAAGACCUAACCAUCUGCCUUCUCAGUGACAAAACUUUGGGUAGAAUUCCAUAUCUCUCCCACAAUGACCCUGGGCUGUGAGAUGCAGUAUUAGAUACCAGCAGUACCUGCUGAAAAAACCAAACAACUCCAUAAAUAAAUAAGAUAAAUAACAAUGUCAUCUGGCUUCAGUUGACAUUGUAGGCCAGCCAUAUGCAAAGGAAUAUAGCACUCAAAUGUAUGCAUUUUAGCCCAAGUACUGCAAGACUAGGUUUUUGGAAAUUAGAUUGGAUUGGAUUGGAUUCCAUUGCACCUCUAAUGUAUAUAAUGUAGGGAGCUAUUUUGUUUGAAGUUCUAACAAUGGGUCAGUGUUUCUAAUUUAUAAGGGACAAAGAUGCCCAGCUUUUAGAGGCAACUCUCCCAGGUUUGUUUGUUCUAUAUGCAUUAUCUCUAAAAGCCAGACAGUUUGUGCAGAGAUGACAGUUCUGAAUUGCACUUUCUGCUUGUUCUCCUAGAAAGUCUACUUCAUUCUAGAUGUGUUUGCUUUGAUGACACUCAUGAUUUUGCAAAGCAGCUUGCCUGCCCUGAGCUCUGUGAGUACUUUAGUCAUAUAAUCCUUUCCUAGGCAAAACACUGGAAUAAACUCAAUGUUAUUUAUGACAAAUGCUUUUGAUAAAGUACGGGUGUUUUCUCAGCAGUUCCUGGUGUUCUGCUUCAUUGAGUAUUUGGGGAACUUUGGUUUAGGGUGCUGCCAUUCAAGUAACUCUUACUUGGGCAUGUGGAAUUAUGAGUUAUUUUUGAUCUUUGCUCCACCACGUAGUUAAUCAGGGAGUAAUGUGAUAAAGAAUAUGUCCAUGAAUCAGGGGACUAAGUA